UUUUAUUUGAGAGUUUGAUCCUGGCUCAGGAUGAACGCUGGCGGCGUGCCUAACACAUGCAAGUCGAGCGAACCCUUCGGGGUGAGCGGCGGACGGGUGAGUAACGCGUGGGUAACCUGCCUCAUACACAUGGAUAACAUACCGAAAGGUAUGCUAAUACAGGAUAAUAUAUUUUUAUCGCAUGAUAAAAA
rnacentral:rRNA from 1 species